rnacentral:lncRNA from 1 species
GGAUUGUAGGUGUUGGAGAAAGGAUCAUAGCGUCUUUGCGGAGGUCCCGGAAAGCCUCUGACAGCAUCAACAUGUGCCGUUGAAUUGUCGUUAAGGAUUGGGCACAAAUCCGUCUGAUGUUCAGACGUAGUACAAUUUUCACACAGUUGGGUCAGAUUCUUCUUUUCUGUAAGCAUAUAUUGAACAAUAUUAGUAAGCUUAUCCAAUUUAUCUUCUAAGGAUGAAACGUUUACCCCAUUAACCCCUCUUGUGGGUUCUGAAUUUGGCCA